GCAUAUCAAUAAGCGGAGGAAAAGAAACUAACAAGGAUUCCCCUAGUAACUGCGAGUGAAGCGGGAAAAGCUCAAAUUUAAAAUCUGGCGGUCUUUGGCCGUCCGAGUUGUAAUCUAGAGAAGUGUUACCCGCGUCGGACCGUGUACAAGUCUCCUGGAAUGGAGCGUCAUAGAGGGUGAGAAUCCCGUCUUUGACACGGACUACCGAGGCUUUGUGGUGCGCUCUCAAAGAGUCGAGUUGUUUGGGAAUGCAGCUCAAAAUGGGUGGUAAAUUCCAUCUAAAGCUAAAUAUUGGCGAGAGACCGAUAGCGAACAAGUACCGUGAGGGAAAGAUGAAAAGAACUUUGGAAAGAGAGUUAAACAGUACGUGAAAUUGCUGAAAGGGAAACGCUUGAAGUCAGUCGCGUUGGCCGGAAAUCAGCCUUGGUUCUCCUUGGUGUAUUUUCUGGUUGACGGGCCAGCAUCAGUUUUGACCGGUGGAAAAAGUUGUAGGGAAUGUGGCAUCUUCGGAUGUGUUAUAGCCUUGCUUCGUAUACAUCGGUUGGGACUGAGGAACUCAGCACGCCGCAAGGCCGGGGUUCGCCCACGUUCGUGCUUAGGAUGCUGGCAUAAUGGCUUUAAUCGACCCGUCUUGAAACACGGACCAAGGAGUCUAACAUGCCUGCGAGUGUUUGGGUGGAAAACCCGGACGCGCAAUGAAAGUGAAAGUCGAGAUCCUUGUCAUGGGGAGCAUCGACGCCCGGACCUGAAGUUUACGGACGGUUCUGCGGUAGAGCAUGUAUGUUGGGACCCGAAAGAUGGUGAACUAUGCCUGAAUAGGGUGAAGCCAGAGGAAACUCUGGUGGAGGCUCGUAGCGAUUCUGACGUGCAAAUCGAUCGUCAAAUUUGGGYAUAGGGGCGAAAGACUAAUCGAACCAUCUAGUAGCUGGUUCCUGCCGAA
rnacentral:rRNA from 1 species